AACGGCCACAUCACGUUGACACUCCGGUCCCCCGUACGAUCGCAGAAGUUAAGCAACGUCGAGCUUGGUCAAUAUUUAGAUGGGUGACCGCUUGGGAAUACCAGAUUCUGUAA